GGGAGAGUAACACGUAGGUAACCUGCCCUGAAAUGGGGGAUAACCGCGGGAAACUGUGGCUAAUACCGCAUACGCCCUGAGGGGGAAAGCGGGGGAUUCUUCGGAACCUCGCGUGAUUGGAGCGGCCGAUGUCGGAUUAGCUAGUAGGUGAGGUAAAGGCUCACCUAGGCGACGAUCCGUAGCGGGUCUGAGAGGAUGAUCCGCCACACUGGGACUGAGACACGGCCCAGACUCCUACGGGAGGCAGCAGUGGGGAAUUUUGGACA
rnacentral:rRNA from 1 species